ACAGUCACACACUGGAUUGGGAGGAACAGCCUGAGCUCAUGGGAAGAACAUUGGUCAACAGCCAAGGAGAGAGGACAGUCAUCAGAUGCUAUACCACAGGAGUGGCACUUGAUGAACAAAACAGCCAAUGGGGGAAACCAGGAAGAAGGACCUCGGGUUUUGUGAGGUGCCACUGAGGUACAAGACAGUGACGCUCUGAUGAUGUGGUGAAGUGGAAGAGACUCAGCAAAGCCACACUGCUAUCCUUUUCACUGUUCCCCAUUGAAACCCUCUUGAUUCUAUCAUUUUCAAAAUGGCAACUGGGGCACCUGGUUGGCUCAGUCAGUUAAGCGUCCAA